UGCAGAGGCCUCAAGCGUUGUUCGGAUUUAUUGGGCGUAAAGGGUGCGUAGGCGGUACCGAAAGUUAGGUGUGAAAGUUCGAGGCUUAACCUCGAAAUUGCACCUAAUACUCCGGUGCUUGAGUCUCAUAGAGGAAUCUGGAAUUCACGGUGUAGCAGUGAAAUGCGUAGAUAUCGUGAAGAAGGCCUGUGGCGAAAGCAAGAUUCUGGGUGACGACUGACGCUGAGGCACGAAAGCCAGGGGAGCAAACGGG
rnacentral:rRNA from 1 species